rnacentral:lncRNA from 1 species
CUUUAAUACAUUCAUUAAUGACAGUUUGAUAAUCUUUAGACUUCUAAUUGACUUUUCAGAUCAUUUUUCAGAUCCAUUUCAGGUGACAAUAGAUAAGUUUCGUGUUCAAUCUACCGACUGGAUGUCUGUUUCUGUCCAUUCCAUCUGUUUGCUGUCACUCUUAGUUUUUCUGCCUUCCCUUGAAUUAACUGAAUGUUUAUUAAGUUCUUUUUUUUCCCCUACUGGUUUACUAGUGAUAUCUCUUUCUGUUAUCUGUCUAUAUUUUUACUGUUUGCUCAAGCUUUUACAAUACGCUUCUUGAAUCAUUCCAUAUAUUUGUAAACACUAUUAUACCACUAUAAGAACCUCAUGGAGUAAGCUUACAUUUCCCCUUCCUUCAUGCUACUGUUUUCCUACAUUUUUCUCCUGUGUAUAAUUUGCGAAGAGUAAAAAAGGAGAAAAUAAUUAUGUCUUCCACCCUACCUUUCAUCUUUUCCUGUAUGGAUCCCAAUUCCUAUGUGUUAUCAAUUUUCUUAAACCCAAAGGACUUUCUUCAGUGUUUUUUGAAGGGACGCUUUGCUGAAGCUGAAUUCUCUCAUCUAUCCUAAACAGUCUUCAAGUGUGUUUUUUAAAUGAUAUUUCCACUGGGUCUAGAAUGCUUUGCUCAUAUUUAUUUUUGUAUUUUCAGGAUGUCACUCCAUUAUUUUAUGCUUUCCUUGUUGUCUGAUGUGACAUAUUCUAUUCUUGUCUUUGCUCCUGGGUACGUACAUUAUAUGUCUCUUCCCUGCCCCCGUCUGCUUUU